GCAAGUCGAACGGCAGCACGGGUGCUUGCACCUGGUGGCGAGUGGCGAACGGGUGAGUAAUAUAUCGGAACGUGCCCUAGAGUGGGGGAUAACGUAGCGAAAGUUACGCUAAUACCGCAUACGAUCUACGGAUGAAAGUGGGGGAUCGCAAGACCUCAUGCUCAUGGAGCGGCCGAUAUCUGAUUAGCUAGUUGGUGGGGUAAAAGCCUACCAAGGCGACGAUCAGUAGCUGGUCUGAGAGGACGACCAGCCACACUGGGACUGAGACACGGCCCAGACUCCUACGGGAGGCAGCAGUGGGGAAUUUUGGACAAUGGGGGCAACCCUGAUCCAGCAAUGCCGCGUGUGUGAAGAAGGCCUUCGGGUUGUAAAGCACUUUUGUCAGGAACGAAACGGUGGAGGCUAAUACCUUCUGCUAAUGACGGUACCUGAAGAAUAAGCACCGGCUAACUACGUGCCAGCAGCCGCGGUAAUACGUAGGGUGCGAGCGUUAAUCGGAAUUACUGGGCGUAAAGCGUGCGCAGGCGGUUGUGCAAGACAGAUGUGAAAUCCCCGGGCUCAACCUGGGAAUUGCAUUUGUGACUGCACGGCUAGAGUGUGUCAGAGGGGGGUAGAAUUCCACGUGUAGCAGUGAAAUGCGUAGAUAUGUGGAGGAAUACCGAUGGCGAAGGCAGCCCCCUGGGACAACACUGACGCUCAUGCACGAAAGCGUGGGGAGCAAACAGGAUUAGAUACCCUGGUAGUCCACGCCCUAAACGAUGUCUACUAGUUGUCGGGUCUUAAUUGACUUGGUAACGCAGCUAACGCGUGAAGUAGACCGCCUGGGGAGUACGGUCGCAAGAUUAAAACUCAAAGGGAUUGACGGGGACCCGCACAAGCGGUGGAUGAUGUGGAUUAAUU
rnacentral:rRNA from 1 species